rnacentral:rRNA from 1 species
UACGUAGGGGGCAAGCGUUGUCCGGAAUCAUUGGGCGUAAAGCGCGUGUAGGCGGCCCAGUAAGUCCGCUGUGAAAGCCCAGGGCUCAACCCUGGGAUGCCGGGUGGAUACUGUUGGGCUCGAGUCCGGAAGAGGCGAGUGGAAUUCCCGGUGUAGCGGUGGAAAUGCGCAGAUAUCGGGAGGAACACCAAUGGCGAAGGCAGCUCGCUGGGACGUGACUGACGCUGAGACGCGAAAGCGUGGGGAGCAAACAGG